rnacentral:rRNA from 1 species
UCGGGGGCAGAGUGACAGGUGGUGCAUGGUUGUCGUCAGCUCGUGUCGUGAGAUGUUGGGUUAAGUCCCGCAACGAGCGCAACCCUUGAUCUUAGUUGCCAGCAUUCAGUUGGGCACUCUAAGGUGACUGCCGGUGACAAACCGGAGGAAGGUGGGGAUGACGUCAAAUCAUCAUGCCCCUUAUGACCUGGGCUACACACGUGCUACAAUGGGCAGAACAAAGGGCAGCGAAACCGCGAGGUUAAGCCAAUCCCACAAAUCUGUUCUCAGUUCGGAUCGCAGUCUGCAACUCGACUGCGUGAAGCUGGAAUCGCUAGUAAUCGCGGAUCAGCAUGC